GACAAGGUGGCCGAGUGCUUAAGGCAAUGGACUGCUAAUCAAUCCACUAUGCUCUGCACGCGUGGGUUCGAAUCUCAUCCUCGUCG
rnacentral:tRNA from 1 species